AACAUUUUAAAAUCUGUCUGUCUGUCUCUCACACACACCACCCCGGGUGGUAUUUGUGCCAGGCCCUGGUCUUUGGAACCCUCAGCCUUGCCCCCAACACCCCCAAAGCCCCUGUGGAGCCUGGCCCUUAAGUUCACCCCAGCAUUCACUCACAUCCCCUAGCCCACCGCAUACCACAUUUGUUUACAAAGCACUUUCACACCCUAUCUCAUUAGAGCACUCCUCACAUGUUACCUAAUUAUUUGUUUACUGUGUGUCUCCCUCCUAGACUGUGAGCUUUGCCUUAUUUAACUUUUUAUUUCUCUUCCUUCCAACCACUCCACUGACAGCUCCCCAGUGCUAAGCAGAGGACUCGGCAUAACUAUGCUUAUACAAUCGAUCGACUUAAUUAUCCCAAUUAUCCUGAUGGGUUGGUGUUACUCUCACUUUUCCAAGGAAAACGUCUCCAAGGUCUGCCUCAGGUCACACGCCUUCUAAGUGGUAAAGCUUCCAAAAUGACCCAGGUACAGGAGAGGCAUUUGAAAGCUAGCCACCCCCUCUGGGUUGAGUCUCAGGAAAAGCCCAACCUCAAAUCCCAAGGGAUCCAAGGAGGGAAAAGGAGGCUUUGAUGUGCCUGAGCAGGGCCAGGGAAAGGCUGCAGCUGUUUCCCAGGCAGCAGCCACCACAGGGAAAGGCCAGAGGCAAAGCCAGAAGUGAACCUGUCCAGGCCAAAGCCAGUCCCCCAGCUGCCCACCCUGCCCCCUUCCCCUCCCCCUUUGCUGGAAGUCUGGACCAGACCCCAGAACUCCAACCCUCCCUCAGGAAGGGAGGCCUUGUCUCCCAAGGUGGGGCAGAAUGCCGGGGCUCCAAAUAGGAAAGGGAUUUUGAGGCCUGUUUGACAGGUAUGAUACCUGCACACGAAAGCUAAGAGGCGAGGGAAAUGAUACAAGGGAGACAGGUCCCUGGGUCAGCUCUCCAGCACAGCCCCGGGCGCAGGCUUACCUGGGCCCAGGUGUGGAGGGGGGAGACCUGGGACCCUGUGUCUACCACUGGAAGGCCCUGGAGGUCGGAGCCACGUUCUGGCCUGGUUCUGGGCACCUGACUCACCCUCUCCUCCUGUGCCAGGAGCUGCUGCUGAAAGGGGCCUUUGCCCCCAGACCCCAGGGGAGCUCCGGCAGGGGGAGGCCCAGAGGCUGGCAGAUGUGGGAUGGCCUCACCUCGCCCUCCCCAGCCUUCCUGCCCUCCCUCCUACCCCCUCAUCGCCAUUGUGCCUUUAAGGCACUUGGAACACUCAGCUCUAUGCCAGCCGGGGACCCUGGCGUCUGGCCAGCUAUGGCCUCUUGAUUAAAGACACACAGAGACGCAAUCACAUGCACAGACACACAAGGGGUUCACCAUGGCCCAGAGAAACCCGCUCACCAGCCGCAGAGACGUGCUCAGAUGCCCCAGAGUGAUGUCAACAAAAACACACCAACAAUCCCCCUCCACUCGCACCCUCCGUUCACUCCAGUCCCUCGCAGACCCUUCAGCUCGCCGCCAACGCCCUGGAUUUUCCCAAGUUGACUCUCGUUUCAGGAAACAGCCAAACCGUCCAUCAGGGACACCUGUCCACCUGGAAGAGGGCCUGACUGUGCUCUUUGAAGUCAACCUCAAAGGAUUUCAGGGUGAGGAUGAUGAAAGAAGGCCGACGUCAAUAACUGCCCAGAUGUGUGUGCGGAAGGUCCCUGCAGCAGCGGGAGUGGGGCAGGUGCAGCUCGGGCUCCGGAGACGCCCACGGGGUCCUAGGAAGCCCACGGGGCUCGGGACCGGAGGGAAUGAACCCCUCUUGCUGGAGAGGGCCUGGAACAUGUGGCUCUGGGGAAGGGACCGGGGAGGGCUGAAAAUAAACAGGGGUUUUUGGAAAAACAAAAUGGAGAGUCUGGGAUUUCACUCAGAUGCUCCCCCGAUAAGACCAGAUAAGUAGAUCAGCCUCUGGAAAGGGCCCCUGCCAAACCUGCUCCCUUCCAGAAGGCUCCAUCUCUGACAAUACCACUGCCACUGGCCCUGGGGGCUGGCAGCACCUUCCUCCCUCUCCCUGGUCCGCAGCCCAGCACUGCAGGCCCUGCCAGUUCUCUCCCAUCACGGCCGCCCCCCAACAGGCUCUGGGGGCAAUUUUUGGCCCCAAUGUGCCCCAUCCUAUCUCUCUGCAUUCUCUUGUGCUCAACCCAUCAUGCUCACGGAUGCCAGAGUGAGCUUCCCAAAACAUGACGCCCAUCACUUCACACCUCCCACCGUCUCAAAAAUCCUCCAGAUAAACACAGCACAUUUUUGAGAGGAUAAAAUAUAAACCCUCGGGCUGCCUGCAAACUACCUCUCCACCCAAGAUCAAAGGUGUUCGUAAACGAAACCCUCGUCCACUCAGCCAAGCCAGUCCGCGCACGGUCCGGCCUCCCCCAAGCACGCCCGUCCCCGCGCACACUCGUCCCUGCAUACGCUGCUCAGGAAGGUCCUAGGUGGGGAAACCUCCCACUUUCCCCGGCCACACGUCACCUCCCUUCGAAGGCCCAAGUCCAGCCCCUCCCGCCAAUGUCUUCGGCACUUCAGGUCCAGACCACGGGCCAGGCUCUUGGGGUACUGGAUGGCUCUGUGAGCGCUGGUUUGACAUGAUCAGCUGGGGGAAUGAGCAGAGGAGUCUGCACGGCACAGUUACAAGGAAAGUCUCUAACCUCGCGAGAUGUCUGACAGCCCUGUUUUCCCCACACCUUCGAAAGCAUGACGACACAGGGCAACGGGCAGCAGCGGGCCCACGCAGGCUCACAGGCAGGGAUGCCCCGUGAGGGGCCGGGGCCCAGGAAUGGGAGAUACCCUUUCAGGAAGUUUCGUGCAUAAAAACAAGGGGCACCAAGUCACCGAGUCAAGGUUCCAGGGGUUAGUGAAGGAGCCCUUCUAACCCGGACACAAAGAGGGGAUUUGAUUUCUGUCUUAAGAAUCAAACGGUCAUAUUAGGUGGGAAAAUGAGCCGAUACUGCAAAGGCCCAAUAACUGAGGGAAACGAUACUCGGCUGGCUUAAGCUGCAGUGGAACGGUCCCCCGGCUUCACAC